AUGGUUUUUUAGGGGAUUUCCGGUUUGGCUCAAAUUUGUUCCCGGUAUGGCUUUUAGGACGGAUAAUGAACCUUUCAAGG
rnacentral:sRNA from 1 species